UGUGAAUAUUCCUUUUUGCAAUUUUUGGUUGCUCCAUUUGUGCUGCGGUGUUGGGAGGCUUUUUUACUGGAUUGUACUGGUUAAUGGGUGAACUCAUUGCUAGACAUUUUGGCAACACUGAAGAAUUUUGUUUAAUAUGGCAUGCAGCUGACACCAGUACUAGCCAGUCAAAUGUAGUAUUUACAAGUAAUAGUCUUCAUCAUGACAUAGAACUUCUUAAACUUCAAUUUAAUGACUAUCAUCUACCAUGCACUAAGAAUUAUUAAAUUUUACUUGAAUGGGUAUAGAACUGUUGUGUGAUGUUCCUAAAGGGGCAUUGCAAAUUCUGGAUAAUCUUUGUACUUCUUUCUAUCCUCCUAAUAGAUUUCCUCCCAGAUUUUGGUAUAGAAUAAUUUUUUUUCCCAGCCCCAGGGGACUGGUGGUUGAGAGAAACUCUUGCAGUAUCGCAACACUGCUGGUUGUAAUUUCCAUACAAUUUCCCACUAGAAAAAUAGAAGUAUGGCACAAAAAAAUUGAUUUUCCAUUGUCUGAAACAGCCGAAGUAAACCUCAGUGGAGGAAUUUUGUUCCGGUCUUCACCUAUCAGUUUACUGUUUAGUUAGCUCUCUAACCGAGGUCUCUCUCUCUCUCUCUCUUAUGCACACAAAGACGCACAAUCACACAAUCAUUGAAGCCACUCUAAAUUUGUUUUCUGGAAAUUCUUGUUGAGGAUUAUAUUAGAGGAUCAUUGAAUGUUUUGUUGAAUUGCAUGAUGUAGGUUACCUGCUGGAUGAAUUAUAAACUAUGUGAACUUCCAGCUCUAUUGCAGUUACUCUUAAGUUUCUUCUUUUUUUAUUUUAACAAUUCAGUGCAUCAUUUUCGUAAUUCUCUUUUGGGUUUUUGUAAAGUGUCCCACCUUUGCAAACAAAAUCAUUUUCAAGCCUGUGGUCUGUGUGACCUGAAUGUAGCUACCUUAGAUUUGUGCCAAAGUUCACUUCACCUGGGAUUGCUUCUAGUUCUAUUCUGUAUGAACCCUGUCUUUUUGUCUCCUUUUUGUUGAACUUUGUUAUAGUCCUUUGAGUUGCCAAAACUUUUGUGGACUUUGUAGCCUCUAACUGCAAAAUGCAAUACCAAGAUUGCUUCCGCACAAUUGGCAAAUUUAAAGUGGUUCUCCUUGUCAAUGUCCACCCUUGUUGCUCUUUUGGUACCAAUUUAGAUGCAAUCACACUUUUGUAAUACCUGUCCAAAUUCCACCUACCUCUUGCUAGAAUCCUUUAAUGGCCUUGGAUAGCAUGAUAAAAAAUUGUCGAAAUUACAACUGAAGUCCACCAUUCCUUGAUCUUAUCAAUCUUCACACAUGGCGUUUUACCAUCUUUGAUAGGUGGAUGUUCUGCAACUAUGUUUUAUGUGUCCAUUUUAUUGGAAAUAUUUAUUUGUUUGUUACCGCAUUGGAUACACCCACUUCAUAAAUUCAUUUAGUGAUGCUUAGUUCUUUACUAAUUCUAGCUUGACAUAUUUUACAGUGAAUAACUUUUUGAAACUUAUGCCACUUUCUUCCGAUUGUGUCUGUCAUGAUACAUCACAUAAAAUUUCUUCCCAUGCAUGGUGUUGCCAACUCUUAUUAUGCUGCUGUCCUGUUUAGAAAGGGGAAUUGAGAAAUUCAUAUUUGGUACAAGUCAAUAAUUGUUUGUGGUUUUGAAGUAUUUGUGAGCUAAAAAUGUUGGAUUCAUAUGGCUAUUUAUUGUAUUUUGUGUGUAGAGCUGGAAGCCAGAUGUCAACUGUAGUCAUAAUUGAUCUAUACGAAACCUUUCAAUGCUCAAGCACCUGCUAUCAUUCAGGUCGAUCUGGCAUUUGUGGACAAAUAUUCUGUAACCAAAUAGAGUUGUACAGAUAAAUGUGGUGCUUGGAUAUGUUUACAUUAUUGAGUGUGUCGAGUUAGAUCUCCCUGUUAGCUUAGCCUGUGCAGCUAUUUCUAUACCCGUUUAGCAUAACAUGAAUUUGAGCCUAAAUGAGACAGGCAUGUCCAAUGCACAGCUUAUUAUCAUGAAUGGCGAUGUCCAUCUAGUUUUCCAUUUUUAUAAUUUUCUAGUAGCUAUGGAGAGCUAUCUACUUCAAACAAUCUCAAGUUAACAGCAGUUUCCACCUUUUAAGUCGCCCUUAUUUCCACGUAAAAUUUUUUGCUUGUUCACAUAAUAUGAAGUAUGCCUUUUUUUUGCUCGUAACUGAGUUAUAAUUUGAUAUAGUAAUUUGACAGGCGUAUAUUUUGCUUUUGGUCUAAUGGAACGGUUGGAGAUGUUUACAUGCAAAUUUCUGUCCAGUAUUAUGUUUGCUGUCUGAAUAGUCCGAGUUAUCGCAAUGUUUUCAAACCCGGACCGGGCCGGCCGGCUCGACCGGUCAAACCGCGAACCGGCCAUGUGUCCGGUCCGGUUCAUAGCUGGUGUUGACUUGGUUCUAGAACCGGGCAAACCCGUAAAAAACCGCUCAAACCGUUAAACUCGGAUCGAACCGUGAACCGCGGUUUUUUAAUUUUUCACAAAAUUGACUGAAUUUUGACUGAAAUUAAGGACUAAACAUCUAAACCUAGUCUUCAGUCUAUUCUUCACUCCAAUCUUCGCCUCUUCAGUCUUCUUGCUUGGCUGCUCUUGCCGAGUUGCCGUCGUUGCCGUCUCUAUUUCCUUCUCGGCUUCUCAGUCCAAACUCCAAACUUGAUCCAUAGCAAUCAGCACGAAGGAAGCACGAAGCAAGUAAAAACAGAGAGUGCUGGAGCCUGGAGCAUGAAGGUUUUGUCAUUGGAUGAUUGCAUGCAUGCAAAAUGUGAAUAACUACAUAAAGAAAUGAUUGGCUUUCUUGAUUAUGAUCAGCAACAGAAAGAAAACGAAGAAAAGUGAUUCAUAUAAUGGUCUUGGAUGGUGAUGACGACUUGUCAAGAUGGCUUAUUUUUGAAGCUUUGUUGUCCCAGAAUGACGAAGAAGAUUAUAGAAACCUCAGAAAUUGGAUUUGUUUGGACCUUUUGAGUGUUUUCUACACUUAUAUUGUUUUUUUGUUAAUUCUAAUAUUUAGACAAUUGGACAUGUAAGUUGGAUAACUAUGAUAUUGCUCUUAUGUUAAUUGUGGUUUAACAUUUAUAUCUU